AGCUCCAAUAGCGUAUAUUAUUGAUGUUGCAGUUGAAACGUUCGUAGUCGAACUUUAUCUGCUCAAGCGCCUAGCCAUCGAUGAUGGUUUUGGUGCUAUCGGCGGAGAGUGUGCAAGUUAAUUGGAUGUUUCAUCCAGUUAUUUUUGCAUCUUACUUUGAGUGAAUCGGCGUGUUCCACGCAGGCGAGCGCCUUGAACGAUUUACCAUAGCAUAAAAAUAGUAUGAGGAUAUUCCCUUGAAGGUUCGGGAAUAACUUCGAUACAGAAAAGAACGGUUGAGGGCAUUCGUAUUCAACUGCUAGAGGUGAAAUUCUUUGAUUAGUUGAGGACGAACCAUUGCGAAAGCAUCUGCCAAGGACGUUUCUU
rnacentral:rRNA from 1 species